rnacentral:rRNA from 1 species
UACGGGGGGUGCGAGCGUUGUCCGGAAUCACUGGGCGUAAAGGGCGCGUAGGUGGUUUGAUAAGGGUGUGGUGAAAGUCCGGAGCUCAACUCCGGAUCUGCCGUGCCGACUGUCAAACUCGAGGGCUGUAGAGGCAGACGGAAUUCCGGGUGUAGCGGUGGGAAUGCGUAGAGAUCCGGAGGAAGACCGGUGGCGAAGGCGGUCUGCUGGGCAGUUUCUGACACUGAGGCGCGACAGCGUGGGGAGCAAACAGGG